CGCACGUUUUCAACUCACUGAUUAAUGUUAACGGGGACCCAGUGCUGUCGACAUUCUUAAUUUACCGGUGGAACGGUGCACGCGACCGUGGCAGACUGUAAACACCAUGCGGCAGCUUUUUCCAGUAUUAUUAGCGUUGUGCUGCUGCGCCUCCCUAUCCCAGCAAGAUUUCCUCGAUCCUAAGAUAUGGUGCUGCUUACUGAACGUGGAGGAUGCUAAAGUGUAUAAAAUGUGCGACAACAUCGACUGCAGUGUGACAACCACGGCAUCCACAACAACCACGACAACGACGACGACGACAACGCCCCCCAUAGUCAAGCCCGUCGUUCUUGACCCGGAGAUUGUGAAAGAGUCCGGGAAUGACACCAGAACCGAAAGCCAGAUGCUGUCUUCUUCUCAGCUGUUCGAGGGCGAUGUGCUGGGUGUGGAAAAGGAUGCGGAAGUCAACGUUAAUGAUAUGGGACAAAACUUCGUCAACAAGGAUGAACUGAAAUGGAGGGAUGCGACCAUUCCCUACGUUUUAUCCAGAGUCUAUCGUCCACAGGAUAGAGCAAUUAUCCAGAGGGCCAUAGAAGAUUUUAUGUCGAAGACACCCAUCAAAUUCCGCCCGCGCAAAGAUGAAGACAAGGAUUAUGUUUAUAUUGGUCCAGGAUUCGGGUGUUCAUCGCAUAUUGGCCAUCAACAAGGGAGACAGAUUAUCAAUCUACAAGUUCCAGGCUGCAUGAAAAGAGGCGUUAUCCAGCAUGAGCUAAUGCAUGCUACCGGAUUUUACCAUGAACAGUCCCGCACCGACAGGGACCAGUAUGUGGAAAUCAACUGGGACAACAUCCGCAAAGCCGAUUACCUCCAGUUUCGAAGCUACAGUGAUAAAGACAUUACGGCGUUCGGCAGGCCAUACGAUUUCGCCUCCAUUUUGCACUACGGAAAGAAUGAUUUCGCCAUAAAUGCGGAUGAAUGGACCAUUCGGCCGCGGGAGAAUGUCUCUGAUUCGCCCGGUGCUGAUCAGAUGGGACAGCGCGAGGGACUAAGCAAGAUCGAUCUGGAGAAGAUUAAGUUGGCCUACCCGGAAAAAACAGGUCGAGGAUGUCCAACGACAAGUGGUUGGUUCACAUUUAACAAAUUUUGCUACUUCUUCUCCUUCCUUUCCGAUGGCACUACCAAAAAAGCGUUCGCCAAUGCCAACAUGUUCUGCCGGCAGAACGAUGCCAGGAUGUCAAGCGAACCCGAUGACGGAGUAGACGUCUUCUUCCAAGCCAACUUCGCCACGUUGGACAAGACCACCAGGGUCUAUGUAGCCAGUUGCGGAACCAUUACGUCUGCUAACCUUAAAGAUUCUCAGUUUUCGAAUUGUGAUGAUCAGCUGGACUUUAUUUGUGUUAAACGAGUGGCUGCCUAAAAAUUUCGAACAGACUUCGGAGAAAUGACCCUAUGAUGGUGGAUCUAGGAAGAAUCCACGGACAGAGACAGAAACGGAAUCUAUCCUGCAGACUCCACAUUCGGAUGAUACGCAAAAAUGCGCACGCAGCAUUCCUUCGCAACAUGGAAUAAAGGAGGUCGAAAACAUAUUCUAAAGAACGCGCAAUCGCAGAAGUCUAAUGUAUCACCUUGCGGAAGGCUUUACCAGGUCAUCUCGUUUAACCAGUGCAUCCCACUCUAUAUCCUUAAGGUACUUAUCAGAGCUGCUUAGGUUCGCAAAAGCAGUGACGCUGUCUACCUAGCUAAACUGGACUGGUUUGUUUCGGUGUGUAGUUGGA